rnacentral:rRNA from 1 species
AUGCAAUUCAUUGAGAUUAAAAUGCCAUCUAGCAUUCCCUCUUUGAGCUAUUACGAUCAGUAUCACCACGAUCGUACGUAUUCUACAAAUGACUAUCCUGUUACUCAACCAAAACAGCUUAGGGAUUCUUUCCUUGGCUUACCACUCGAAACUGGAGAAUGCAACUCAUGUGGUGCCUCUGAAAAUGGCAAAUGCGAAGGGCAUUUUGGGUACAUUGAGCUUCCUGUACCUGUAUAUCAUCCUUGUCAUGUUAGUGAACUUAGGCAACUACUGAGCUUGCUAUGUCUGAAGUGCCUUGGUAUCAAGAAAGGAAAGUGCCAUUGUUUUUGUUUCCAAUCAGUGAAUGGUUUCCUACUUUACAGUCUUAGUUGCUGCGCUUUUAAUAUAUUAAAGAAGAUUCCGGAUGACACGAGAAAAAAGCUAGCUGCACGGGGAUAUAUUGCUCAAUCUGGAUAUGUGAUGAAAUAUCUCCCAGUACCUCCUAACUGCCUCUAUAAUCCAGAAUUCACAGAUGGGCAAAGCAUCAAGUCCAAUGCCAUCUCUAUAUCUUUGUUGGGAAAGAUACUUGAAAAGAUAGAGAAGAUAAAAGAAUCAGCAUCUGGUUCCCCACACUUUGAAUCAUAUGACACUGAAUCAGCUGAGCUACAAUUUUCUAUCGGCCAAUAUAUACAGGCCAGGGGUACUACAAAGGGUCCUCAAGGUGCAAAGAGAUUUACAACUAGCACCGAUUCAUCUCCUUCGUCAACGAAAGAAUGGCUUGAAAAGAUGAAGACAUUGUUCAUCAGCAAAGUGUCAGGAUUUUCAUCACUUAGUGUGCUUACUGGAGAUCCCUAUAUUGGAGCAGAUGUAGUUGGACUGCCUUUUGAAGUGGCAAAAAGGAUAACUUUUGAAGAACCGGUUACAGACAUCAACAUACACAGAUUGCAAGAGGUUGUUGACAAGGGAUUGUGUUUGACCUAUAGAGAUGGUCAAGCAACAUAUGCAAUCAAUGUAGGAUCGAAAGGAUCACCCACUCUGAAAGUGGGUCAAACGAUCAGUAAAAGAAUCGUUGAUGGUGAUGUUGUUUUCCUCAACAGGUCACCUAGUACUCACAAGCAUUCUCUGCAGGCAUUGAAUGUAUACAUCCACCAUGGUCAUACAGUCAAGAUAAAUCCCCUACUAUGCUAUCCAUAUGGAGCAGAUUUUGAUGGUGAUUGUGUACUGAUCUUUUAUCCUCAGUCACAGUCUGCAAAAAUUGAAGCAUUGGAGCUUUUCAGCGUGGAGAAGCAACUGUCUAGUUCACACAGCGGGAGACUAAACCUCCCGCUAACUAACGACAGCUUGCUAGCUCUAAAACUCAUGUCUUCAAGAACCAUGUUAAGCAAAGAAUCAGCAAACCAGCUGGCAAUUGCUUUGCCGCCAGAAUUGACUUGUGAAGGGGACAGCACUGUCAUAGAUCUUGAGAAAGAAUUCGUUGAGGCCUCAUUUUCGGACUUGGUGUCCAACAUUAUUUGUGUUAAGGGCCCGGGAGAUGCGCUCAAGUUUUUGAAUGCGCUGCAGCCCCUUUUCAUGGAGUUCCUACUACUUGAUGGUUUUAGUCUAACACUGCAAGAUUUUAGUGUACCCAAGCUUCUGUUGGAAGGAGCACAGGAGUGUAUUAAAGAACAGUCUUCUGUACUUGAGCAGUCAAGAAGGUGCUUCAAAAGCCACUCUGUUGACUAUAAUCUCAAGAACAUCAAAGAGAAAAUAUCAAAUUUUGUCGUGAAAUCAUCUCGUCUUGGUCUUCUGUUUGACCCAAAGAGUGACCCUUCAAUGUCAAAAGUAGUUGAGCAGCUUGGUUUUGUUGGUCUGCAGCUGUACCGUGAGGGGAAGUUGUACUCACGUCGUCUGGUGGAGUCUUGUUUCUCAAAUUUUGUUAAUAGACACCCACCAAUUGGAGAUGGAAUUCAACAUCCUCCAGAGGCAUAUGGUCUUGUGCAAAGUUCAUAUUUCCAUGGUCUCAAUCCUUACGAGGAGCUAGUACAUGCUAUAUCUACAAGAGAAACUAUUGUCCGCUCCUCAAGAGGUUUGCCAGAAGCAGGAACUCUGUUCAAGGGUCUAAUGGCCAUCUUGCGAGAUGUAGUUAUAUGCUAUGACGGAACUGUGGGAAACAUCUACAGCAAUUCAAUCAUGCAACUUAAAUACAAAGAAGAUCCAAGUGCUAUAACUCCUGGAGAACCAGUGGGUGCCUUAGCUGCCGCUGCUAUCUCUAACCCUGCUUAUAAGGCUGUCUUGGGUGCUUCUCAUAGUAAUAAUACUUCAUGGGUGUUGAUGAAGGAAAUACUUCAGACAAAAGUUAGCUAUAAAAAUGAUGCGAAAGAUCGAAAAGUUAUCCUGUUUCUGAAUGACUGCUCUUGUCCCAAGAAAUUUUGCAAAGAAAAGGCAGCUAUUGCAGUGCAGGGUUGCCUAAAGAGAGUCACAUUAGAGGAUUGUACCACUGAUAUCUGCAUCGAGUAUCAGAAACAAGUUAGUUUGAAGGGAACUUCAGAAGCCACCCCGGCAUUUGUUGGCCAUAUUCAUCUUGAAAAGGAACAUUUAGAACAGAUAAACGUUAGCACUGAUGAUAUUCUUCAGAAAUGCCAAGAAGUUUCUGGGAAACAUGGGAACAAGAAGGGAACUCUUGGUCUGCUGUUUAAAAACAUUAGUUUCUCCACUUGUGAUUGUUCAUUCACACGGAAGCUGAGUGAUGGGAAGGCUUCAUGUUUGCAGUUCUCUUUUUUGGAAUAUAUCCCUAUGUUAUCUGAUUCAGUUGAGAAAGCAGUGAACGUGUUAACCGAUUCUCUCUGUUCUGUGCUUCUGGAGACAGUUAUAAAAGGUGAUCCUCGAAUUCAAGAUGCUAAAAUUAUGUGGGUCGGGUCUGAUGCAACACCUUGGGUUAAAGACACAAAAAAGGUAUCAAAUGGUGAGCCAGCAGUAGAAAUUAUUGUUGAAAAAAAGGAAGCUAGGAAGAACGGUGACGCAUGGAGAAUAGCGAUGGAUGCAUGUAUACCAGUCAUCAACCUCAUUGACACAAGAAGGUCCAUACCUCAUGGUAUUCGGGAAGUGCGAGAACUUCUUGGUAUAUCAUGCACCUUUGAUCAAGUUGUUCAGUGCCUUUCGAGAACUAUGAACACAGUUGCUAAAGGAAUUCUGAAGGACCAUUUGAUACUUGUGGCAAACAGCAUGACAUGCACUGGAAACUUGAAUGGGUUCCACAAGGGUGGUUACAACGCGACCCUACGUUCAUUAAAAGUUCAAGCACCUUUUACACAGUCCACCUUUACCCCUGUGAAAUGCCUCGAGAAGGCUGCAGAGAAAUGCCAUACUGAUUCAUUGGGUUGUGUGGUCUCAUCAUGUUCAUGGGGAAAGAGUGCAGCACUUGGCACGGGGUCGUCUUUUCAGAUUCUUUGGAACGAAAAUCAGCUGAAAAGCAACAAGGAGUAUGGUGACGGUCUGUAUGAUUUCCUGGCCUUGGUGAGGACCGACCAAGAAAAGGAUGCGUACACAUUCUUGGACGAUGUGGACUACCUUGUUGAAGACAACAUGAUGGAUGAUAUUUGCUUAUCACCGGAAUGGGAUGGGACCCAUGGAAUGCCCACUUUUGAAGAUAAUCCUGAACAGGAAAUUACUGAGAAGAGCAACUCAUGGGAAAAUGACACAACGGCGAAUGCAAGCUGGGAACAAAAUGUAAUUGCUUGGAAUGACUCUGGUAAUGCUCAGAAUGUUGAUGCACAGGAUGAUCCAUUGGGGAGUGUGGCAGCUAAGGCUCAGAAUUCUUCUGCGCAGCAUAUGGAUGGAAAGAAUGAUUCCUGGGGAUGUGUGGCAGCUAAAACUUGUACUGCAGAGCCUAUGGAUGCAGGGGAUGAUUCCUGGGGGAGUGUGACAGCGAAGGCCCAGACUUGUGCUGCACAGGAGGACUCCUGGGGCAAUGUGUCUGCUUCACCGUCAGAUAAUGCGUGGGGUGCUGCUCAAAUUUCCCAGGGUCACGAGAAUUCGGAUUCAAAGCAGCCAGAUUCUUGGGAUGGCUGGAGUUCUGCUCAGACCGAUGACUCAAGUGCUGAUAAUUGGAAGACCAAUUCCUCUGGCAACAACAAAGGCUGGAAAUCGGAGGGAUGGGAUGCCAAAGAAAACCGGAGGGACAAAAGAGACAAUCCAGGCAGGCCCCCAAUGAGACCUGUUGAGAGGCCACCAAGACCACGGUACGAACUACCAGCUGAGGCGAAAAAGGUUCUACGAGAAAUUGAACCCAUUGUAACCAUGGUCAGAAAGAUCUUCCGUGAAUCAUGUGAUGGCGUAAGACUUCCCCUGGAGGAUGAAAAGUUUAUCAUAGAAAAAGUUCUGGAACACCACCCUGAAAAGGAAAAGAAGGUGUCUGGUGGAAUUGAUCAUAUAAUGGUCAACAAGCACCACAUUUUCCGGCAAAGUAGGUGCUUCUACGUGGUGUCAUCAGAUGGGACCCACACAGACUUCUCCUACAACAAGUGCAUGGACAACUAUGUGAGGAAGAACUACGCGGAGCACGCCGAACUGAUCUGUGGGAUGCACUUCAAGAAGUGCAAUCGUGAUCAGCCACCAGCAGUUGAUGGAGGCGCGGCACCAGCCACUGAAGCCAAGGCAUCUCAGUCGACGAAUCCGGGCGAGGACACUCUGCCAGGCCCACCGGCAGGAACUUCAGCUUCUUUGACAAUGAUCACCCAGGAGGAGACACCAGCUUUUCCGGCGGCUACUCCAGACGAUACACUUACCCAGCAGGAGGCUGGAGCUGUCGAUGACAAGUGGGUCUAA